rnacentral:rRNA from 1 species
AGAGUUUGAUCCUGGCUCAGAACGAACGCUGGCGGCAUGCCUAACACAUGCAAGUUGAGCGAGAACCAGAGGGCUUGCUCUCUGGGGAAAGCAGCGCACGGGUGAGUAACGCGUGGAUAACGUGCCCUUGGGUUGGGGAUAACCCACCGAAAGGUGGGCUAAUACCGAAUGUGUUCCAAUAAGGUUCGCCUUUAUGGAAGAAAGUGGGGCAACCCACGCCCGAGGAUCGGUCCGCGUUCCAUCAGCUAGUUGGUAGGGUAAAGGCCUACCAAGGCUACGACGGAUAGCUGGUCUGAGAGGAUGAUCAGCCACACUGGGACUGAGACACGGCCCAGACUCCUACGGGAGGCAGCAGUGGGGAAUAUUGGUCAAUGGGCGAAAGCCUGAACCAGCAAUGCCGCGUGAGUGAUGAAGGCCUUCGGGUUGUAAAGCUCUGUCAGCGGGAACGAAUAAGCCGGUUAAUACCCGGUGGUGACGGUACCCGCAAAGGAAGCACCGGCUAACUCUGUGCCAGCAGCCCGCGGUAAUACAGAGGGUGCAAGCGUUGUUCGGAAUUACUGGGCGUAAAGCGCGUGUAGGCGGUCUGAUAAAGUCGGUCGUGAAAUCCUUGGCUUAACCAAGGAACUGCGUCCGAAACUGUCGGACUUGAGUAUCGGAGGGGGUGGCGGAAUUUCCGGUGUAGAGGUGAAANUCGUAGAUAUCGGGANGAACACCUGUGGCGAAGGCGGCCACCUGGAAG